rnacentral:misc_RNA from 1 species
GCAAACUUGGUCAUUUAGAGGAAGUAAAAGUCGUAACAAGGUCUCCGUUGGUGAACCAGCGGAGGGAUCAUUGAAGAGUCGAGGACUCCAAACCAUCGCGAACAUACCACUACGUUGCCUCGGCGGGCGGCUCCAGGGCGGAGCCCCCAGGCCCCCCGCGGGGGGGGCGCCCGCCGGAAGGCCCCCCAAACCCUGUCGUAACUAGGCCCCUCUGAGUACCUGCGCAAGCAGUCACAACUUUCAACAAUGGAUCUCUUGGCUCUGGCAUCGAUGAAGAACGCAGC